rnacentral:rRNA from 1 species
AGCGAACGCUGGCGGCAGGCCUAACACAUGCAAGUCGAACGAAGUCUUCGGACUUAGUGGCGGACGGGUGAGUAACACGUGGGAACGUGCCUUUAGGUUCGGAAUAACUCAGGGAAACUUGUGCUAAUACCGAAUGUGCCCUUCGGGGGAAAGAUUUAUCGCCUUUAGAGCGGCCCGCGUCUGAUUAGCUAGUUGGUGAGGUAAAGGCUCACCAAGGCUACGAUCAGUAGCUGGUCUGAGAAGAUGACCAGCCACAUUGGGACUGAGACACGGCCCAAACUCCUACGGGAGGCAGCAGUGGGGAAUCUUGCGCAAUGGGCGAAAGCCUGACGCAGCCAUGCCGCGUGGAUGAUGAAGGUCUUAGGAUUGUAAAAUCCUUUCACCGGUGAAGAUAAUGACUGUAGCCGGAGAAGAAGCCCCGGCUAACUUCGUGCCAGCCGCCGCUGUAAGAC